CCUACGGGUGGCAGCAGUGAGGAAUAUUGGUCAAUGGACGAGAGUCUGAACCAGCCAAGUAGCGUGAAUGAUGACUGCCCUAUGGGUUGUAAACUUCUUUUAUAAAGGAAUAAAACGAGGCACGUGUGCCUUUUUGCAUGUACUUUAUGAAUAAGGAUCGGCUAACUCCGUGCCAGCAGCCGCGGUAAUACGUAGGAUCCGAGCGUUAUCCGGAUUUAUUGGGUUUAAAGGGAGCGUAGAUGGGUUGUUAAGUCAGUUGUGAAAGUUUGCGGUUCAACCGUAAAAUUGCAAUUGAUACUGGCAGUCGUGAGUACAGUUGAGGUAGGCGGAAUUCGUGGUGUAGCGGUGAAAUGCUUAGAUAUCACGAAGAACUCCGAUUGCGAAGGCAGCUUACUAAACUGCCACUGACAUUGAUGCUCGAAAGUGUGGGUAUCAAACAGGAUUAGAUACCCUGGUAGUC
rnacentral:rRNA from 1 species